AGGGAUAAGGUAGAAAAGUGGUCUCUUUACUUUGUUGAAAGUGAGAUUCAACUUUUCUAGCUCAUUACCU